GUUUAGUGUGUACUUGUGUGCUAGAUUUCAAUCGAAUCAUAAGGAAUCACAUGUAAUUGCGGUAAAAAGAAUAUUUCGAUAUCUUAAACACAUACUAAACCUAGGUCUAUGAUAUCCCAAGGACACAUUUUUGAUCUUAUUGCCUAUACUGAUGCUGAUUACGCGGGAAGUAGAAUUGAUAAGAAGAGUACAAAUGGAUCUUGCCAACUUCUAGGCAAUAUGAUCGUGUCUUGGUUUUGCAAGAAUCAAAAUUCUGUAGCAUUGUCCACGGUGGAGGUUAAGUACGUUGCAGCAGGUAGUUGCUGUGCACAAGUGUUAUGGAUAAAAUAUCAAUUAGAGAGUUACGGAAUCUCACUAAAUCACAUUCCCAUAAAAUAUGAUAAUACGAGUGCAAUUAAUUUGACUAAAAAUUCCAUUCAACACUCUCGUACUAAGUAUAUUCAAAUUAGAUAUCAUUUUAUAUGAGAUCAUAUGCAAAAAGGGGACAUUGAACUUGAAUUUGUAAAUACAGAAAAACAACUCGCAGAUAUCUUCACAAAAUCAUUAAGCGAAGAUCGAUUUUGUAUGAUUAGAAGAGAACUAGGAAUGAGCAAUCCUAUGAGUUAAAAAUUAUUUAUGGAGUAUGCUUAAAGUGUAAUAACAACCAAGCAAAUAUUUACAACCUACACUAGGCACAAAAUAAACUCUACAGCCCAAAGUGUCGACACCUAGCUAUAGUUGUGUUACCGUGAUUAAAAAGUGUCGACACCAAAUAGAUCAUGUGUCGACACACAUAAUUUUUUACACAAGUUUUAAGGCACAAUAUCAAGUGUCGACACCUCUUAAAUCAAGUGUCAACACACUCGAACAGAAAGGUUAUUUCUAGAAUUGAAAAGCAAUGUGUCGACACCCUUGCAGUCAUGUGUCGACUCCUAAAUAUUUUUAAAAAUAUUCCGACACAUUAUGAUCAAAGUGUUGACACUCAUAAAUAGAGUGUUCACACUGAAAUCUAAGUAUUCAAGUGUCGACACCACAUGGACAAAAUGUCGACACCCAUGAGCAGAAAAGUCUUAUUUGAGGGUAUAAGUGUUGACACCCAGAGAACAAGUGUCGACACCUAUAAACAGAACAUCGAACCAUCUGAAUCUAAUGAACAUCAAAGUGUCGAUACAUCGAGAGAAGGUGUCGGCACCUUUGUCAGGACUAUAAAAAGUAAUUAAGCCCUAAAGUGUCAUUUCACGUGACCAUCCAAUUUCCUCCCUCACUGUUUCUCUCUCUAAAACUCCCUCCAAACCCACUACUUCAACCCACGACGCACAAUUCACGUUUAAAACAUUCAAUUCACUCCUAUAUAUCUUUUGAAUCGAUCAAUUUCUCAAUCUCCAACCUUCAAAAUGGCACCUAAAUCGGCAAGAUCUUCAAGGAGGAAGAAGCAAAGCCUAGAGUUUGUGGUGUCGAUAGUAAAGAUGGCCAAAGGCUAAAAGAGGAAGGCCCAGGGAGAAACAAGCAAAGGAAAAGGGAAGAAAAAGAGGGUGAGUCAAGCUCAGAACCCUCAAUUGAACGUGACCCACUUUAUUUUCUCAAAGAUAGAGAUCAAGAAAGGUACAAUCUAGAUUUUUUGAAUAGGAAAGUACUAAAUGGUCGUUGGAUAGACUAUGAUUUCUUUGAUUUGAUCAACUUUGAGUUUAGUUCAAAAAUGGAUGAUCUAGGUUGGACACCCAUGACUCUAACUCGAGACAAUGUGUAUCUUGAUUUAAUUGCGUACUUUUAUGCCAAUGCUUUAAGGGGGCUUCACAGUGAUACCAUUAAAAGCUAUGUCAAGGGUGUAAAAAUAACAUUGGAUCGAUCAGUCAUUCAAGAUAUCUUAGGAAUGAGGUAUGGAGGAGAGACAAAUAGACAACUCCAAAAAAGAAAAAAUCAAUUGAAAGUUGUCUAUGGAGAGAGUGUAAACUUAGCUGUUAAACCUAAGGCUAACACGUUACCUCUUGAAUUAAGACUGGUUCAUUAUUUCAUAUGCACAAUUUUGAUUCUUAAGACUGGAAAUAUGAAUAUAUCUCAGAAAGGAGUUAUUCUUCCUACGGGCUUACAUGACAAAUGCCAAAAUUGAUUUAGCCUUGUUUAUACUAGAUCAAAUGCUUAAAGCCACAAUUAAGAAGAUCAGCCUGCCCUACGGGAUGUUAUUGACAAAAGUAUUCAAGUUUUUUUGAGUAAAUUUGGAUGAUGAAGACAAUGCGAGUCCUUAAGGCUGUAAGUGAUGAAUAUAACGAAAAAACUUUGAAACGAAAUGGGUAUGAGCUAGUAAUUCAAAAGGAAAAGAGCCCAUGGGGAGUGAAAGGCCUGUAGUUGAGGGAUUUGAAAUAGAAAUGCGUGCAUUUAUGGCUUAAAUAUCUGACUCAAUGAAAGGGUUACACACCAAAGUUGACAAUAUGGCCUUCCGACUUGUGAUCAUUGAAAAGAAAUUGAGAAGUUUAACCAAAGAAGUACAAAAAGAAAGAAUUCAUAUGAAAGAGGAUGACAGUGA
rnacentral:lncRNA from 1 species